rnacentral:rRNA from 1 species
GUACACGCUGUGACUAGCAUAUCAAUAAGCGGAGGAAAAGAAACUAACAAGGAUUCCCUUAGUAACGGCGAGUGAAGCGGGAAGAGCUCAAAUUUGAAAUCUUGAAAGGUCUACCUUGCACGAAUUGUAGUUUAAAGAAGUGUUUUCUGUGACGAUCUGGUAUAUAAGUUCUUUGGAAUAGGACAUCACAGAGGGUGAGAAUCCCGUCUAUAUUGACAUAUUUUAGCUUUGUGAUACACUUUCAAAGAGUCGGGUUGUUUGGGAAUGCAGCCCAAAACGGGAGGUAAAUUUCUUCUAAGGCUAAAUAUUGGCGAGAGACCGAUAGCGAACAAGUACCGUGAGGGAAGGAUGAAAAGAACUUUGAAAAGAGAGUUAAAUAGUACGUGAAAUUGUCAAAAGGGAAGCGUUUAACACCAGUGUUGUUUUCUGAAAAUCAACCUCUGUUAGCUUUAUGCAUGUUUGUUUAGACCUAAUCAGCUAUCUUGCAUGUUCUAUUGUUUGCAGUGGUGCACUUUUCAGUUUACAGGUCAACAUCAGUUUUUUUUACCGUAAAAAAGUUAAAGAAAGGUAGCUCAUGGCUCCGGUCGUGAGUGUUAUAGUCUUUUUCCUAUGCGGUAGGAGAGACUGAGGUCUGCAGUGUAGGCUAUUUGGCUAGAUACUCAGGUGCUAUGUGAUACCAUUUCAUAAACAACUUGUUGAUUAUGUUUUGUCUAUUGCAUACUCGCUUGUACUAUCAUACCUACGCUUAGGAUGUUGACGCAUGAGAUAUACGC